UCAGUACGGGAGGCAGCAGUAGGGAAUCUUGCACAAUGGGCGAAAGCCUGAUGCAGCAACGCCGCGUGAAGGAUGAAGGCCUUCGGGUUGUAAACUGCUUUUAUAAGCGAGAAAUAUGAUGGUAACUUAUGAAUAAGGAUCGGCUAACUACGUGCCAGCAGCCGCGGUAAUCUGA
rnacentral:rRNA from 1 species